rnacentral:tRNA from 1 species
GGGGAUGUAGCUCAGCGGCACAGUGCCUGCCUGGCAAGCACGAGGUCAUGAGUUCCAUUCCCAGCAUCCCUU